rnacentral:rRNA from 1 species
UACGUAGGGAGCAAGCGUUGUCCGGAAUCAUUGGGCGUAAAGCGCGCGUAGGCGGCCCUGUAAGUCCGCUGUGAAAGUCAAAGGCUCAACCUUUGAAAGCCGGUGGAUACUGCAGGGCUAGAGUCCGGAAGAGGCGAGUGGAAUUCCUGGUGUAGUGGUGGAAUGCGCAGAUAUCAGGAGGAACACCAAUAGCGAAGGCAGCUCGCUGGGACGGUACUGACGCUAAGGCGCGAAAGCGUGGGGAGCGAACAGG